rnacentral:misc_RNA from 1 species
UUUCCGUAGGUGAACCUGCGGAAGGAUCAAUAGCGAGUGGCGCGAGUGGAGCGAGCGAGUGGGUGGGCAACCGAGGUGCGUGAGCACGGAGGGAGCGAGCCUGUAGACACGCACCCACGCACCAACCAACACCCUGUCGAACGCGAUGCCGCCGGUCACAUUCACACAUGUGCACAUUCACAUUCACAUUCACAUUCACACUGUGCAUGUGGGUACACAGUAGAUGUGAAUGUGUGCAUGUGUGUGUGCAUGACGGGCGGCACCUGAACAACGAGCGCGCAUGUGCAAAAAUGAUACACGAUGACAUGAUACAAAGGAGAAACAACUUUUAACAAUGGAUCUCUUGGCUCUU